GGUAGAGUAGCCAAAUGUAGGCAAUGGGUUGUAGCCCCAGUAAUAGAGGUUUGAGUCCUCUCCCUAUCA
rnacentral:tRNA from 1 species